rnacentral:rRNA from 1 species
AAGCUUGGUGCUUGCACCGAGCGGAUGAGUUGCGAACGGGUGAGUAACGCGUAGGUAACCUGCCUCUUAGCGGGGGAUAACUAUUGGAAACGAUAGCUAAUACCGCAUAAAAGACGAUAUCGCAUGAUAUUGAUUUGAAAGGCGCAAAUGCAUCACUAAGAGAUGGACCUGCGUUGUAUUAGCUAGUUGGUGAGGUAACGGCUCACCAAGGCGACGAUACAUAGCCGACCUGAGAGGGUGAUCGGCCACACUGGGACUGAGACACGGCCCAGACUCCUACGGGAGGCAGCAGUAGGGAAUCUUCGGCAAUGGGGGCAACCCUGACCGAGCAACGCCGCGUGAGUGAAGAAGGUUUUCGGAUCGUAAAGCUCUGUUGUAAGAGAAGAACGAGUGUGAGAGUGGAAAGUUCACACUGUGACGGUAACUUACCAGAAAGGGACGGCUAACUACGUGCCAGCAGCCGCGGUAAUACGUAGGUCCCGAGCGUUAUCCGGAUUUAUUGGGCGUAAAGCGAGCGCAGGCGGUUAGAUAAGUCUGAAGUUAAAGGCUGUGGCUUAACCAUAGUACGCUUUGGAAACUGUUUAACUUGAGUCGCAGAAGGGGAGAGUGGAAUUCCAUGUGUAGCGGUGAAAUGCGUAGAUAUAUGGAGGAACACCGGUGGCGAAAGCGGCUCUCUGGUCUGUAACUGACGCUGAGGCUCGAAAGCGUGGGGAGCAAACAGGAUUAGAUACCCUGGUAGUCCACGCCGUAAACGAUGAGUGCUAGGUGUUGGGUCCU